AGCUUUGCGCAGUGACAUUACCGUAGCUGAUGAGGUCCAUCCGAGGCGCGGUUAUUGCUGAUUGAAAACUUUUCCCAAUACCCCGCGAGACGACUUGAAACAUAGUCGGCUUUGCAAUUUUUGUGGGCCCUGCUUAGGG
rfam:Nematostella vectensis strain CH2 x CH6 NEMVEscaffold_159_Cont16282, whole genome shotgun sequence.